CACGGGGGGCCCUACGGGGCGCAGCAGGCGCGAAAUCUUUACAAUGCGGGAAACCGCGAUAAGGGGACACCGAGUGCCAGCAUUUAUGUUGGCUGUCCACAUGUGUAAACGGCAUGUGUUAGCAAGGGCCGGGCAAGACCGGUGCCAGCCGCCGCGGUAACACCGGCGGCCCGAGUGGUAAUCACUUUUAUUGGGUCUAAAGGGUCCGUAGCCGGUUUGAUCAGUUCUUCGGGAAAUCUGACAGCUCAACUGUUAGGCUUCCGGGGAAUACUGUCAGAUUUGGA
rnacentral:rRNA from 1 species